CUGUACUAAUGAAAACUAUAAUAGAAAAGAAAGAAAAUGGGUCCAACAAGACAAGAUUUGGGCCCACAAAAAUUUCCAUUCAAGACAACUAUUCUUUUUGCAUUGUAUCAGUUUUAUGCCAAACUGUCAGGUGAACACUACAGGCUCCUUGAAGGCUCUGCUUUUUGUUGGUGUAAAUUUGAAAAGGGGGAAUUAAUAUAUAACUACCAUAUUUUAUAUGUAAAUAGAGAAGUGUAUAUAGUUACUGC
rnacentral:lncRNA from 1 species